UCAGAACAAUAUAGUUUAGUUAUGGAGAGAUGUAUUUUGCUGAUUCUUAUAGGAGCAGCAGGUGUAUUUGCUGAUAGCAUUGAACCAAAAGACAAGAAUACAAAUAUAAUCAAGACUGAAGGAGAAUCUGUGACACUGAGCUGCACAUAUGAUACAACCAGCAACUAUGUUUGGCUUUACUGGUACAGACAGCAUCCUAACAGUGAACCUCAGUAUUUAUUGUAUAAAAGUGCUCGAUCAAGUGCUAGUGCUGAGAAUAUAGCAGACCGUCGGUUUAAGUCGACAACAUCUUAUUCAUCCACUGAACUCACUGUUAACAGUGCAACUCUGUCAGAUUCAGCUCUAUAUUUCUGUGCACUGAGAGAUGAAGCACAGUGA